AUUGAACGCUGGCGGCAGGCCUAACACAUGCAAGUCGAACGGUAACAGGAAGCAGCUUGCUGCUUCGCUGACGAGUGGCGGACGGGUGAGUAAUGUCUGGGAAACUGCCUGAUGGAGGGGGAUAACUACUGGAAACGGUAGCUAAUACCGCAUAACGUCGCAAGACCAAAGAGGGGGACCUUCGGGCCUCUUGCCAUCGGAUGUGCCCAGAUGGGAUUAACUAGUUGGUGAGGUAACGGCUCACCACGGCUACGAUCAGUAGCUGAUCUGAGAGGACGACCAGCCACACUGGAACUGAGACACGGUCCAGACUCCUACGGGAGGCAGCAGUGGGGAAUAUUGCACAAUGGGCGCAAGCCUGAUGCAGCCAUGCCGCGUGUAUGAAGAAGGCCUUCGGGUUGUAAAGUACUUUCAGCGGGGAGGAAGGGAGUAAAGUUAAUACCUUUGCUCAUUGACGUUACCCGCAGAAGAAGCACCGGCUAACUCCGUGCCAGCCGCCGCAGUAA
rnacentral:rRNA from 1 species